AUUGAACGCUGGCGGCAUGCCUUACACAUGCAAGUCGAACGGCAGCACGGGAGCAAUCCUGGUGGCGAGUGGCGAACGGGUGAGUAAUAUAUCGGAACGUGCCCAGUAGUGGGGGAUAGCCCGGCGAAAGCCGGAUUAAUACCGCAUACGACCUGAGGGUGAAAGCGGGGGAUCGCAAGACCUCGCGCUAUUGGAGCGGCCGAUAUCAGAUUAGCUUGUUGGUGGGGUAAAAGCCUACCAAGGCGACGAUCUGUAGCUGGUCUGAGAGGACGACCAGGACCACUGGGACUGAGACACGGCCCAGACUCCUACGGGAGGCAGCAGUGGGGAAUUUUGGACAGUGGGCGCAAGCCUGAUCCAGCCAUGCCGCGUGCGGGAAGAAGGCCUUCGGGUUGUAAACCGCUUUUGUCAGGGAAGAAACGGCUCUUGAUAAUACCGAGAGCUAAUGACGGUACCUGAAGAAUAAGCACCGGCUAACUACGUGCCAGCAGCCGCCGUAA
rnacentral:rRNA from 1 species